GACGAACGCUGGCGGCGUGCUUAACACAUGCAAGUCGAACGGAAAGUCGCUGCGUUUGGGGGAUGCUCGAGUGGCGAACGGGUGAGUAACACGUGAGUAACCUGCCCUUGACUUUGGGAUAACUUCAGGAAACUGGGGCUAAUACCGGAUAGGAGCUCCUGCUUCAUGGUUGUGGUUGGAAAGUGUCGGCGGUUGGGGAUGGACUCGCGGCUUAUCAGCAUGGUGUUGGGGUGGUGGCGUACCACGGCUUUCACGGGUAGCCGCCCUGAGAGGGUGACCGGGCACACUGGGACUGAGAUACGCCCCAGACUCUCAUGGGAGACAGCAGUGUGGAAUAUAGCAGAAUGGGCGGAAGCCGGAUGAACCAGCGCCGUUGUCGGGAUGACGGCCUUCGUGUUGUAAACAGGUUUCGCCUGUGACGAAGAAUGAGUGACCGUAAUGGGUAGAGAAGCACCGGCUAACUACGUG
rnacentral:rRNA from 1 species